rnacentral:rRNA from 1 species
UACGGAGGGUGCAAACGUUGUUCGGAUUUACUGGGCGUAAAGGGCGCGUAGGCGGCCACCGCAAGUCGACUGUGAAAUCUCCGGGCUUAACCCGGAAAGGUCAGCCGAUACUGCGGGGCUAGAGUGCAGAAGGGGCAACUGGAAUUCUCGGUGUAGCGGUGAAAUGCGUAGAUAUCGAGAGGAACACCUGCGGCGAAGGCGGGUUGCUGGGCUGACACUGACGCUGAUGUGCGAAAGCUAGGGGAGCGAACGGG